rnacentral:tRNA from 10 species
AUGUUUUUCCCACCCAAGAAUUAAAUUUAACCAUUUGAACUAAUGAAAAAUGUCAUUAUUAAAAAUACCACUCAGUAGAACCCAUAAGUAUUUUAAUAUGGCCCAGGUCACUUGAGUUUUCAAUGCUCUUUCUAUAAACCUGGAAGUAAAUUCUAGAAUUUAAACAUGAAUUCUUAGAGAUCUGAUGAGGAACAGUUGGCAGCUAGGAUUUUGAGCUAUCUCAACUACUUAAAAAAAGAUAAUUUAUCUCCAUGAAGUCAUGUGUGGAGAAUUCAGCAAAUGAGCUGAUUUGGCACUAAUUUUUUUUCUCUGGUCCCAGCUGGUUUCUCUGAAUUUUCAGCCCACCCAUGCUGUGUCUUAGGUAGCCAGAAACAGUCACAAUGCUCCACUGAGAACCAUGCUUUCUGUGUUCUCAGUGCAUGGAAGCAGGUGUGUACGGUGCCCUGUGGCCCUCACUGGCUGGCAUAACCCCCCAGAGAUGACUCCUGCUCUCACCCUCAGAGUGAGAGUAGGAACGCUUAGCUGUUACUGGGGUUCGGCAGCCUGUCUCAUGAUUCCCUCUGACGGAAUUUUCUGUGGGAAUGGUUUGUUGACAGGGCCUACUUGGAGCUUGAGAUCACCCUUUCUCAGGAGCAGAUUCAGAAGUACACGGACUGCCUGCAGUUCUACGUGAACAGCACACUUAAGGAACUGAGGAGGCUCUUCCUUGUCCAGGACCUGGUGGAUUCCUUAAAAGUAUAGUUGCUUAAGCUGUUCACUUCACAGUCUUGACUGUUAUUUUCCCUAAAGGUGUAAUACUGUAAACUGCUACAUCAAGAAGAAUAAAAAGCAAGUGCUAAUUAUAUUCUAGAGUCAGAAGACCUCCAGUUGUAUGGCACCAUGAACCAGUCUAAUCCCUUCAUUGUACCAAUGAUGAAAAUGUGGCUGAGACAUUUGUCCAGGGUUGCCCAGUGAGUCACUGGCAGAGCUGGAAUCAAACCCAGGUCACAUAGCUUCUAGCUCUAUAGUCUUUACAACACACCAGAUUGUCUCCUUAAACCAUUUUUAGUUCCUCCGACAAUUUCCCAAAAUUAAUAUUAAGAUAAAAAAUCUAGAUAGGGAAUGUGAAAACCAUAUAUACUUUUGCAUUGAAGGAAACUCUAGAUUCUACUAAUAUUAAUAGUAAGCCCUCCAAGUGUGCUUAUGUAGUUACAGCUCUGAGGCUAGAGGUAUGCCCAGCCUCUCACUUGAUGAGGAUCAGGGGCACCUGGGGCUCUCACUGAAUUUGCUGGGUUCCUUUGAAUAAGUUGCUUUGGCCUCCUGGUGACUUACACGUGGAAUCAAAGUUAGUCAAUCGUGAUUCGGCAUGGUCAUAAGCAGAGCUGGGGAAGCCCAGACAAGGUAGUUGUGAAGUUUCUGUGCUCUCACAGCACUUUAUACACACCCUGGCAGGGGCUUGUACUGGGAGCUGUCUGGUAACUGUUCAAAGAAGGGCAGAAGGAAAAGUGAAAAAUGUGGUCUUGACCCUCAAAAUGCUUUACUGGAAUAAUGACUUGCCAUAUAAUGACUGAAGAGAGAUACCAGGGCAAUUAUAAUUACUUACCUUAGUGCUUUUAAGGCCAUGGUUGUAUUUGUAAUGUAAAAAUUGUGGGCCAGAACAGGGGUCAGCAAACCUUGUCCGUAAAGAGACAGAUGGUAGAUACUUUAGGCUUUGCAAGCCACACCAUCUGUGGCACCUUUUCAACUUUGCCAUUGUAGCACAAAAGCAGAAAAAGACAGUACAAAAAGGAAGGGCUUGACUGUGUGCCCAUAAGACUUCUGAACACUAAAAAUUUGAUUCAAUAUCAUUUCAUAUAUUAGAAAAUAUUAAUCUUGUUUUGAUUUUAUUUGAACAUUUAAAAAUGUAAAAACCUUUAUUAACUCGUGGGCCUAUGCAAAAACCGGUCAAGGGCCACAGCUUCGUAGAUUAUUAUUUCCUUGAGUCCCUCAAACCUUAUAACAAAGUGAUCCAAAUAGUUCCAAGAGAACUAAGGACUGGAUCCUCUUUCAUUGAUUCUGUGAUGAGCUUUCAACGCCUUUCAUUGACUAUCGAAAUCAUGAUGUAUUCUGACUCAAAUUCAAAUCUAGGUAAAAGUCAAUGAUAUGAGACUCUAACUUGUCAGGAAGGGUUUUAGGAGCUCUAAUAAUGCUUUCGUUCUUCAGUUUGCAGUCCUGAUGUGGCUCCUGACCUACGUUGGCGCUCUCUUCAAUGGCCUGACCCUGCUGCUCAUGGCUGUGGUUUCAAUGUUUACUCUACCUGUAGUGUAUGUUAAGCACCAGGCACAGAUUGACCAAUAUCUGGGACUUGUGAGGACUCACAUAAAUGCUGUUGUGGCAAAGAUUCAGGCUAAAAUCCCAGGCGCUAAGAGGCAUGCUGAGUAAACUGAUUUCCCACCGGGGACUGGACACAAACAGGAAUGUCUGGAGUGGUAACAGCUCUCUUCUUACUCAUUACUGCAAAUUGAUUGUCUUUCCCCCCUCCCUCCAGUACCAUAAUCUUAGAGACAAACCUUAAAACAGCUGUUUUUAGGCUGUUCCUUGUACUCUUAGGAUAUUUGAGUCACUUGUGUCAACCACUAAAGUAUAGAGAAAAGUGUAUUAGAUGUGGUUUUUAAUUUUGUGUUGCUAAAAAAAGUGCAUGAUGGUGAGAGCCCAAGUUAUCUUUCCCUCUUCGGUGUUCUUCUUCUCUUCUCUGCAAUGCUUCUGUAGCUUCUAAUGUUCCCCGUGGCUAGGCCUUUCCUGCCGAGUGCUCUGAUGCAAUAGUGGAAAUCGCUUAUAUGUCCUUGGGUUGCUGGUUGGAUUAAUCUUUAAUAACAAUAUAUAGAAUUGUAGACUGAUGUUUUAGCAUUUUUCCAACACACACAACGUAAAAAUAAAAGCAGUCGACCGCACUUAUGGUAAUCAGUUUUGUAUAACUUAAAAUAAUUAAAUAAAUGAAUAAAUCCAAAACAAACAUGCAGUACUUUUGUUGUAUGGGAUUGGUGGGCUGAUUUACAUGUAUGGUUACUAAAAAGUACCAGCAUGUUAACUUUAUUACAAUUUGUAUUACUUUCUCUGUAGUUCCUAAUGGAUUCAAUUACGGACUCUGGAUAUUUGCACUUAUGUACUUGAUACUGAAUGCAUAAAUAAAUGUUACUAAAUGUAGAAUGUU